AUGGCAGCUUAGUGAAGACCUGAGUUAGCUGAUUUGGGCGAUCACUCUGGAUGAGAAUUCUUUGAAGCCGAACAGUUGAAAGUGUAUUCUGUUAUCCUUCAUACUCACCUAAGCGUUUUGUUUUCUGCUGACUUACACCUGAUAAUCCCCCAAUGUGAACCCAGGCUACUCAGGGAUCAGCUUCAUCAAAAUCAACCCAAAAUUCAGAAGAAAAUGUUAUACACUGGGAUUAUUCAGCGUGAAUCUUCUAUGUCAGAAGGAAACAUCUUUCA